AGUUAAAGCAAACCCACUCAGGUUAUCGAUAGGGAAGAAUUAAUAUGCAAACAUCUAUCUUUUCAGUUCAGGUGGAGCCGCAGGAACACUACACAAUGGAUGAUUGUCCAGUUACGGUGGAUUUCUUUAAAUCAAGGAAGUUGUAGAUGGCUUCUAAAGUUUAAGAUGCAGAUCGAUGUUGGGUUUCUCUAAACCAAGGUUAGUGAUGUCAUGGCUUUAAUUUCAGCUCUGGAAUAUGUUUUAGUGUCGUGAUGGCUAAGCGGUUCUAUCAUUUUUUUAGACAAAGAACAUGCAAAAAACGUUUCUCAUAUUUUCGUUCUGAUGAGUACAUGAGUACAUGCCAAAGCACCUACAGUUCACUCAGCUGAGGAAGCUUGAUGGACUUCCUAUCUGUUGCACGAUUUAUGGUUUCUCAGUUUUGAACACAAUAAUUUGUCUUUGUUCUUGCAUGCAAGAUUUUUUGUUCGAAUACAACAACUUGUGCAAGCUAAAAAACAUCAUGGGGAUGGAUCAGGACAUCAGGUGUUAUUUUCAGAUUUUUGAAGCAACCUUGGAAUUUAUAAUUAAAAUAAACCGAUGAGUUGUUAUUGCCAUCUCUGAGCAGGAUGUCAUUCUUGCUAUCAUGGAAAGAUUUAUAGAACAUUGAACUUCACAAUUUCACCUUUUUUCUAGGGGACAUAAUCAUACAUUACUAUAUUGUUAGAUGAAUAAAUCCUUAUUGACUUGACUUCUGCGGAAUUUUGUUACAUAAAUGUCAAUGCUACAUAGAAAGACAUUGCAAUAGUUGGACUGUUAUUGGUAACUCAUAUUUAUAUGGAUUAGAAGGUUACACUAAUUUAUGAUGCAUCGAGUAGAGUAUAACAUUGCUAGCUUGAAAUAAUAAAUAUUGGACUGUUCAAGUGCUCGGGUGGAAGUUCAAGUGCUUUUGUUCCCUUCAUCCUUUGGGAAAUGAUUAAUUGGCUAAUAGUGGGAACAUCAAUGAAGGAGUGGCAAUCCUGAUGGUCCAUCCGUUCUAUUUUGUAAUGCAUGUUUUAGUCUAUUUCACGAAAUAAGGAUAUUAGAAGGAAGUGACCAUGGUAUCCAAUGAUACUAUUAUCUUGAGAAUAUGAGAGAGAGAGAACAGUGAUGAUGUAUGUUUAGUCAUAAAUAAUGGAAAUAAAUAAAUUAGUAAAAAAGAGAGAAGAGUCGGUCAUUUCUACAUGCAAGUGUCAUAUUCUAAAAGAUUGUCAAAUAUAGGAUUUAUAUUUUAAAAUGGAUGGAGGGAGUAGCAUUUAACUGUCACACAACUCAGCUAUGUUCAGAUGGCAGAUGCAAGUGUCCGCUUCUUGAUGUGAUUGUAUAUGCUGAUGCGUUCCUAGAUGUCGUGCCUUCUACCUUGACCCUUUUGUGGGCAGUACUAAGUCAGGGAGCUGAGCUCUAGGUGUGUGCAUAUAGCAGCGGCAAGUGUUGAGGGCUCAAACUACCAUCCGCAGCUUCUGCAAAUAUGGAAGCAACUCACUUAGCAUAGGUGUCUGCAUAUAGCAGCAUCAAUUGUUGAGUGCUCAAACCACGAUCCGCAGCUGCUGCAAAUAUGUAUGCAACUCAUUUAGCAUAGAUCAUAUCAUUAUGUUUUUUGCUAUUGCCAGCUGAUUCUAUGUGGUGCCAUGGCUAGAAGUUUCUUUUAUGUAUUUGUACUGCUCUGUGCAAGUGUAAUGAAUGUGUUGAAGGCUAUCUUUUGUUUCAAUGUCUAUACAUCUUCUAAUUGCCGUAA